CUCUUCCUCGCUAAACUCUAGCUUUGGAUAUGUGUAGAGAGCUGUGUACAGCCGCACCCCAAAAUGGCGCUGGCUUCCACCUUCCACCCUCCCGACAAUGUUUAAGACAGAACAAGUGCUGCGCAGUUUUAGGUACCAGGACCAGAUGUAACCGAAGCUCCCAGUUCCUGAGAAGAGAGGCGUUUCCCACGGUCCUGUUGGGAUCUCGUGGCUCCCGGGCUGAGCGGACAAGAGACCCUUCCCUGGUUCCCCGAACUUCCUUGCUUCAUUUGGUGGGCCCAGGCACCUCAGUAGAGGUGAAGA